rnacentral:tRNA from 1 species
UGCCGGUGUGGCGGAAUUGGCAGACGCGCGGGACUCAAAAUCCCGUUCUUUCACGAGAGUGUCGGUUCGACCCCGACCACCGGUAUC